AGAUGAGGCCAUUACGGCAAGCCUUCGGGUGUCCUCCUCGGGAUAGGGUCAUUUAAAGAACGAGGGUCAGCACGACGUAAAAAAACAAGGGGGAAAAAUCGAAAAAAAAUGGGAGGAGCCUGGCGGAGAUGAGGCCAUUGCGGCUCGCCUUCUGGUGUCCUCCCCGAGAUAGGGUCAUUUAAAGAACGAGGGUCAGCACGACGUAAAAAAAAUCAUCGGGAAAAAAAAAAAAAAAAAAAUCGGAGGAGCCUGCCGGAGAUGAGGCCAUUACGGCUCGCCUUCAGGUGUCCUACUCGGGAUAGGGUCAUUUAAAGAACGAGGGUCAGAACGACUUUAAAAAAAAACGG